rnacentral:tRNA from 1 species
ACUUAAGUAGCUUAAAUAGAGCAUAACAUUGAAGAUGUUAAGGUGGUAGGUGUACCCUUGGGUA